AUUGAACGCUGGCGGCAUGCUUUACACAUGCAAGUCGAGCGGCAGCGCGGGCUUCGGCCUGGCGGCGAGUGGCGAACGGGUGAGUAAUGCAUCGGAACGUGCCCAGUAGUGGGGGAUAGCCCGGCGAAAGCCGGAUUAAUACCGCAUACGACCUGAGGGUGAAAGCGGGGGACCGAAAGGCCUCGCGCUAUUGGAGCGGCCGAUGUCGGAUUAGCUAGUUGGUGGGGUAAAGGCUUACCAAGGCGACGAUCCGUAGCUGGUCUGAGAGGACGACCAGCCACACUGGGACUGAGACACGGCCCAGACUCCUACGGGAGGCAGCAGUGGGGAAUUUUGGACAAUGGGGGCAACCCUGAUCCAGCCAUGCCGCGUGCGGGAAGAAGGCCUUCGGGUUGUAAACCGCUUUUGUUCGGGAAGAAAUCCUCUGGGCUAAUACCCCGGGGGGAAGACGGUACCGGAAGAAUAAGCACCGGCUAACUACGUG
rnacentral:rRNA from 1 species